GCCCAGAUAGCUCAGUCGGUAGAGCAGGGGAUUGAAAAUCCCCGUGUCGGCGUUUCGAUUCCGUCUCUGGGCACCA
rnacentral:tRNA from 1 species